rnacentral:rRNA from 1 species
CCUACGGGGGGCUGCAGUGGGGAAUAUUGGACAAUGGGGGGAACCCUGAUCCAGCCAUGCCGCGUGUGUGAAGAAGGCCCUCGGGUUGUAAAGCACUUUCAGUGAGGAAGAACGCCUGGUGGUUAAUACCCAUCAGGAAAGACAUCACUCACAGAAGAAGCACCGGCUAACUCCGUGCCAGCAGCCGCGGUAAUACGGAGGGUGCGAGCGUUAAUCGGAAUUACUGGGCGUAAAGCGCGCGUAGGUGCCUUGAUAAGCCGGUUGUGAAAGCCCCGGGCUCAACCUGGGAACGGCAUCCGGAACUGUCAAGCUAGAGUGCAGGAGAGGAAGGUAGAAUUCCCGGUGUAGCGGUGAAAUGCGUAGAGAUCGGGAGGAAUACCAGUGGCGAAGGCGGCCUUCUGGACUGACACUGACACUGAGGUGCGAAAGCGUGGGUAGCAAACAGGAUUAGAUACCCUAGUAGUC